AGGAUGAACGGCUGGCGGUGUGCCUAAUACAUGCAAGUCGAACGCGUUGGCCCAAUUGAUUGAUGGUGCUUGCACCUGAUUGAUUUUGGUCGCCAACGAGUGGCGGACGGGUGAGUAACACGUAGGUAACCUGCCCAGAAGCGGGGGACAACAUUUGGAAACAGAUGCUAAUACCGCAUAACAGCGUUGUUCGCAUGAACAACGCUUAAAAGAUGGCUUCUCGCUAUCACUUCUGGAUGGACCUGCGGUGCAUUAGCUUGUUGGUGGGGUAACGGCCUACCAAGGCGAUGAUGCAUAGCCGAGUUGAGAGACUGAUCGGCCACAAUGGGACUGAGACACGGCCCAUACUCCUACGGGAGGCAGCAGUAGGGAAUCUUCCACAAUGGGCGCAAGCCUGAUGGAGCAACACCGCGUGAGUGAAGAAGGGUUUCGGCUCGUAAAGCUCUGUUGUUAAAGAAGAACACGUAUGAGAGUAACUGUUCAUACGUUGACGGUAUUUAACCAGAAAGUCACGGCUAACUACGUGCCAGCAGCCGCGGUAAUACGUAGGUGGCAAGCGUUAUCCGGAUUUAUUGGGCGUAAAGAGAGUGCAGGCGGUUUUCUAAGUCUGAUGUGAAAGCCUUCGGCUUAACCGGAGAAGUGCAUCGGAAACUGGAUAACUUGAGUGCAGAAGAGGGUAGUGGAACUCCAUGUGUAGCGGUGGAAUGCGUAGAUAUAUGGAAGAACACCAGUGGCGAAGGCGGCUACCUGGUCUGCAACUGACGCUGAGACUCGAAAGCAUGGGUAGCGAACAGGAUUAGAUACCCUGGUAGUCCAUGCCGUAAACGAUGAGUGCUAGGUGUUGGAGGGUUUCCGCCCUUCAGUGCCGGAGCUAACGCAUUAAGCACUCCGCCUGGGGAGUACGACCGCAAGGUUGAAACUCAAAGGAAUUGACGGGGGCCCGCACAAGCGGUGGAGCAUGUGGUUUAAUUCGAAGCUACGCGAAGAACCUUACCAGGUCUUGACAUCUUGCGCCAACCCUAGAG
rnacentral:rRNA from 2 species